rnacentral:sRNA from 1 species
UUGCUUAGUUCGAUCCCGUCCCGGGCCCGA